UACAGAGGGUGCAAGCGUUGCUCGGAUUUACUGGGCGUAAAGCGUACGCGGACGGCAAGGCAGGUCGGAUGUGAAAGCCCCGGGCUCAACCCGGGAAAUGCAUCCGAAACCUCCUUGCUCGAGUAUGAGAGAGGGAAGCGGAAUUCCUGGUGUAGAGGUGAAAUUCGUAGAUAUCAGGAGGAACAUCGGCGGCGAAGGCGGCUUCCUGGCUCAUUACUGACGUUCAGGUACGAAAGCGUGGGUAGCAAACAGG
rnacentral:rRNA from 1 species